AAAGGUGUGUACAAGCAUUGCAUGAGAUAACUGCUUCAGAUGACUGCAAAGCGCAACGUUGCAAAGCUCAUUUCUACAACCCUAGUCAUCAAUGACAGUGCACCACCAUAUCCCUUUGCUCACCAGUUGAAACAAACUACCGCCCUCGAGUCAGAAGGCUGUCCUCAUCAUCCAACACACAGCGGUAACAUCACCCAAGGACUUCAGCCCUCCGGUGAUACCUGGUUCAGCAAAGACUAGGCCUUGGGGAGUGUUUACGGCUCUGUCAUCAUAACAGCAUUGUGGCAGAAGUAUGGAACACCAGCAUAUACAGGUUCAAACAAACUACCGCCCUCGAGUCAGAAGGCUGUCCUCAUCGUCCAACACACAGCGGUAACAUCACCCCAGGACUUCAGCCCUCCGGUGAUACCUGGUUCAGCGAAGACUAGGCCUUGGGGAGUGUUUACGGCUUUGUCACCAAAACAGCAUUGUGGCAGAAGUAUGGAACACCAGCAUAUACAGGAUAACUUCUUCAGAUGACUGCAAAGCGCAACGUUGCAAAGCUCAUUUCUACAACCCUAGUCACCAAUGACAGUGCACCACCAUACCCCUUUGCUCACCAGUUCAAACAAACUACCGCCCUCGAGUCAGAAGGCUGUCCUCAUCGUCCAACACACAGCGGUAACAUCACCCAGGACUUCAGCCCUCCGGUGAUACCUGGUUCAGCGAAGACUAUGCCUUGGGGAGUGUUUACGGCUCUGUCACCAAAACAGCAUUGUGGCAGAAGUAUGGAACACCAGCAUAUACAUGUAAUGUAUCAGGACCUUCACAGGAUGACUGCAAAGCGCAACAUUGCAAAGCUCAUUUCUACAACCCUAGUCACCAAUGACAGUGCACCACCAUAUCCCUUUGUUCACCAGUUCAAACAAACUACCGCCCUCGAGUCAGAAGGCUGUCCUCAUCAUCCAACACACAGCGGUAACAUCACCCAAGGACUUCAGCCCUCCGGUGAUACCUGGUUCAGCAAAGACUAGGCCUUGGGGAGUGUUUACGGCUCUGUCAUCAUAACAGCAUUAUGGCAGAAGUAAGGAACACCAGCAUAUACAGGAUAACUUCUUCAGAUGACUGCAAAGCGCAACGUUGCAAAGCUCAUUUCUACAACCCUAGUCACCAAUGACAGUGCACCACCAUAUCCCUUUGCUCACCAGUUGAAACAAACUACCGCCCUCGAGUCAGAAGGCUGUCCUCAUCGUCCAACACACAGCGGUAACAUCACCCCAGGACUUCAGCCCUCCGGUGAUACCUGGUUCAGCGAAGACUAGGCCUUGGGGAGUGUUUACGGCUCUGUCACCAAAACAGCAUUGUGGCAGAAGUAUGGAACACCAGCAUAUACAUGUAAUGUAUCAGGACCUUCACAGGAUAACUUCUUCAGAUGACUGCAAAGCGCAACGUUGCAAAGCUCACUUCUAUCUACAACCCUAGUCACCAAUGACCGUGCACCACCAUAUCCCUUUGCUCACCAGUUCAAACAAACUACCGCCCUCGAGUCAGAAGGCUGUCCUCAUCGUC